rnacentral:miRNA from 15 species
AGCCUCUCAUUUGGCCUGCCUAGC